rnacentral:rRNA from 1 species
AGGACGAACGCUGGCGGCGUGCUUAACACAUGCAAGUCGAACGGAAAGGCCCUUCGGGGUACUCGAGUGGCGAACGGGUGAGUAACACGUGGGUGAUCUGCCCUGCACUUCGGGAUAAGCCUGGGAAACUGGGUCUAAUACCGGAUAUACCUCAUGGGAUGCAUGUUUUGUGGGGGAAAGCUUUUGCGGUGUGGGAUGGGCCCGCGGCCUAUCAGCUUGUUGGUGGGGUGAUGGCCUACCAAGGCGUCGACGGGUAGCCGGCCUGAGAGGGUGUCCGGCCACACUGGGACUGAGAUACGGCCCAGACUCCUACGGGAGGCAGCAGUGGGGAAUAUUGCACAAUGGGCGCAAGCCUGAUGCAGCGACGCCGCGUGGGGAUGACGGCUUCGGGUUGUAACCUCUUCAGUAGGACGAAGCGCAAGUGACGGUACCUACAGAAGAAGCACCGGCCAACUACGUGCCAGCAGCCGC